GACGAACGCUGGCUGCGUGCUUAACACAUGCAAGUCGAACGCUGAAGCCUGGUGCUUGCACCGGGUGGAUGAGUGGCGAACGGGUGAGUAACACGUGAGUAACCUGCCCCUGACUUCGGGAUAAGCCCGGGAAACUGGGUCUAAUACCGGAUACGACUGCCGGACGCAUGUCUGGUGGUGGAAAGUUUUUUCGGUUGGGGAUGGGCUCGCGGCCUAUCAGUUUGUUGGUGAGGUAAUGGCUCACCAAGACGACGACGGGUAGCCGGCCUGAGAGGGCGACCGGCCACACUGGGACUGAGACACGGCCCAGACUCCUACGGGAGGCAGCAGUGGGGAAUAUUGCACAAUGGGGGAAACCCUGAUGCAGCGACGCAGCGUGCGGGAUGACGGCCUUCGGGUUGUAAACCGCUUUCAGCAGGGAAGAAGCGCAAG
rnacentral:rRNA from 1 species